UAAGGAGAGAAGAUUGAAUGAUCGGUUUAAAUACCAGUCAGGAUGAGCAGAUGGACAGAGGCAUGCAAGGGAAGGCUCAACACACAGGGCUAUGUAUUCCACCAAUCUUUUUAUGGCGACUGUAAAAGGGAAAAUAUAAACCCACGCGAAUAAACAGAUAUUAGACGUGCACGAGCCUGAGAUGACAGACAGUGCAAACAGUAAGUCGCUUCUGAGACAACAGGGCGAGGCAGCUUAAUCCCAACGUCCAACAGUCCGGAGGCGACAGAGAAAAACACAGCCCUUCCAUUCCCCUCCCUCCCAUGCCAGGGUCCACCCAGCACCAGCCUCCCGCUCUGGGGCAAACCCGAGACAAUUUUUUUUUUUCUUCUUCUUCUUCUUCUUCUUCUUACGGACGUGUGUACCGUUGUAGCGGACCACGAGCAGCGACACCAGACAGGCUCUUUACCGUUUUUAUUAUGUAGGGAAAAUUUAAGGCACAACAUAUGGUAAUGUGCGCUCUCCAGCCCGCCCUUCACAGCGGAGCACUGAGUCCACUGUGACAUCCAUCCGGAUUACCAGUUUCCUUCCUUGGGUUUUGGGAAGCUCACUGGACCACACAGCCUCUGCUUCCGUUCAGACUAACUGAAGACGUGGAUUCGCGGGUAAACUCGUUAAUUGAUCUACGGCGUUUCGUAUUAUUACCGUGGAGACAGGAAGUGAAAACCGAUUUAUUGAAGGAUAAAAAAAUGUUAGAGGUUGAUAAUUUGUUUUAGGGUAUUUCUACGAUAAGUAGCAAACCGCUUUGGAACGAUGAGAGAAUGAAGAAUGGUUAUCUGAGUUUCUGCAUAUGGUGCAGAAACAGGAAGGCAGGUGAUGUGCUGCUGUUAUGAAAAAAAAAAAAAAAAAGCGCCUACUAGUCACUGCCUUAUCCAUCAUAAAUACGCAUCUGCUAAUGAGUGCAAGACAACGUGCCCCUCUUUAAAUACAUAUUGAUUUUUUCCUUCAUGUGUUUUGCUCGAUGUGUUGUGGCGAUCAUUGUCUACACCUCACACUUUCUUCGGGGGUGAUGACUUUUACAGAAAUGUGUGUAAUAAUAACUGUUAAAAAGAAGACUUAUGGGCGAGAAUGCCUGUGUUCUGUAAGAAGGCGACGCCUUUUAGAAGUUUACUUAUCUUUUACAGAUUCGUCUAUUCUUAUGUGACUACUCGCAAUUUCCAGUUACUAAACCAUAACCUUAUCUAAACUCAAGUGACGACGAGUUUUAUAUUAAUUUUGUACUGUCUUGUUUCCGUCGACUUUGAUUUUUUCGCUGACUAAUAAAUAUCGGACGACCUGGAGCGGCACGAAUCCUCCACAGUUAUUUCCAUUACUGUGCUCUGGUUUCUCACCGCGAGGCUGGCCGCAAUUAAUUGUGUGAGUCACGGAGAGGAAGCGGCGGCGUGAGACAGCGAAGAGUACACACACUACAGGAGGUCCGGCUGACUGACCCAUCUGCCCGCCUGCCUCACUAGCGGGAUGGAAGGCGAUAACGGGAAGACAGCGUCCCAAUGUGUGCCUCCCGAUGGGGCGGCGGAUAUGACCGAGUCGCUUGCCGACUAGCUAGAUGAGAUUGCGGUUUGGAUUCAGUAUGAUAUCUGGCCGAGGUUACUGGAAACCGAAGCGCUCAGAGAGCAACGCUAUGACCUUGAGAACGUAGGGACACGUACACAUAAUGAGCCGUCAUGGUGCUUUCCGUUCGUAGCAGCGGCACAAAACUGGCGCGCACCGCUAAGAGGACCCCGAUAAUCCCCCAAAGACAGGCCGGCCGCAGCUCAUUCCCGGGAACUGUACAUCACCACUGCUUACGUUUUUGUCUAACUGUUGAUGUCCCCACGGAGACAAGCACUGGAAGGAGGGAGAGGAGGACGGGAGGAGCAGAAUGGAAUAUGGAAAAGAGCGAAGAUAGAUGAGGGUGCAGAAAAGGGGCAAGAGGAAAGCAGGAGGUCGAAAAGGUGAGGCGGCGGCAUGUAGCGGUCACGGGAGGGAUCCGGGAGGAGGUAGGAGAAGGAGGGAAAGGUCGGAGAGAGUUUGUGCACGAAUGGACAAAGAGGAAGAAAGACGGAGCACCCAAAACAGCUUAACUUUGAACCCCGACAAGUCAAGAUGCAAGAUAAUCUACGUAACCAUCUUCAUCUUCCAUCAUUCCAAGCAACAAUAUUCCCACGCACAGAGAAAAAAAAAAAAAUUCUUGAAUGACGUGGCAGUCCUCAUGAAUACCAUUGUUGUGUUAGAGCUGUUUACUUUUGUGCAGCGUUGAAAACUGUAUGCUUGAAUCGGUGUGACGAGCGAAUGUGUGCAUGUGUACUAAACUACGUAAUAUUUUCUUUACUUCAGAAA